rnacentral:rRNA from 1 species
AGAGUUUGAUCCUGGCUCAGGAUGAACGCUGGCGGCGUGCCUAAUACAUGCAAGUCGAGCGAACCACUUCGGUGGUGAGCGGCGAACGGGUGAGUAACACGUAGGUGAUCUGCCCAUCAGACGGGGACAACGAUUGGAAACGAUCGCUAAUACCGGAUAGGACGAAAGUUUAAAGGUGCUUCUGGCACCGCUGAUGGAUGAGCCUGCGGCGCAUUAGCUAGUUGGUAGGGUAAAGGCCUACCAAGGCGACGAUGCGUAGCCGACCUGAGAGGGUGAACGGCCACACUGGGACUGAGACACGGCCCAGACUCCUACGGGAGGCAGCAGUAGGGAAUCUUCGGCAAUGGGCGAAAGCCUGACCGAGCAACGCCGCGUGAAUGAUGAAGGCCUUCGGGUUGUAAAAUUCUGUUAUAAGGGAAGAACGACUUUAGUAGGAAAUGGCUAGAGUGUGACGGUACCUUAUGAGAAAGCCACGGCUAACUACGUGCCAGCAGCCGCGGUAAUACGUAGGUGGCGAGCGUUAUCCGGAAUUAUUGGGCGUAAAGAGCGCGCAGGUGGUUGAUUAAGUCUGAUGUGAAAGCCCACGGCUUAACCGUGGAGGGUCAUUGGAAACUGGUCGACUUGAGUGCAGAAGAGGGAAGUGGAAUUCCAUGUGUAGCGGUGAAAUGCGUAGAGAUAUGGAGGAACACCAGUGGCGAAGGCGGCUUCCUGGUCUGUAACUGACACUGAGGCGCGAAAGCGUGGGGAGCAAACAGGAUUAGAUACCCUGGUAGUCCACGCCGUAAACGAUGAGUGCUAAGUGUUGGGGGUCGAACCUCAGUGCUGAAGUUAACGCAUUAAGCACUCCGCCUGGGGAGUACGGUCGCAAGACUGAAACUCAAAGGAAUUGACGG